rnacentral:rRNA from 1 species
AUUGAACGCUGGCGGCAUGCUUUACACAUGCAAGUCGAACGGUAACAGGCCGCAAGGUGCUGACGAGUGGCGAACGGGUGAGUAAUGCAUCGGAACGUGCCCAGUCGUGGGGGAUAACUACUCGAAAGAGUAGCUAAUACCGCAUACGAUCUAUGGAUGAAAGCGGGGGACCGUAAGGCCUCGCGCGAUUGGAGCGGCCGAUGUCAGAUUAGGUAGUUGGUGGGGUAAAGGCUCACCAAGCCAACGAUCUGUAGCUGGUCUGAGAGGACGACCAGCCACACUGGGACUGAGACACGGCCCAGACUCCUACGGGAGGCAGCAGUGGGGAAUUUUGGACAAUGGGCGCAAGCCUGAUCCAGCAAUGCCGCGUGCAGGAAGAAGGCCUUCGGGUUGUAAACUGCUUUUAUACGGAACGAAACGGCUCUGGUUAAUACCCGGGGCUAAUGACGGUACCGUAAGAAUAAGCACCGGCUAACUACGUG